rnacentral:lncRNA from 1 species
AAGAGGACCAGCGAUCCGUAGUCGGCCUCCAAGUUGACCUGAUGAAAGACCCUCAGGAAUGCCAGAAUAUUUGAAAGAAAAUUUAACAUAUCAGUUAAUUCCUUUGUUAAAUACUGUGGUAUAUAUGAAUAACAGAAAAUUAAAAUAUAACAACUGUGCAAACUCCACAACCUAUGUAAAUCCCUAGUUUUAUAGGAUUGAUAAGAUUAACUAGGAUGAUCUGAUUUUGAAGAGGUCCAAAUUUUCCACUAAGAAGUAUGAACGUCACCCAAUAAUGACCAGAAAAACUAUGGCAUUUUAUGAGCUUCUAUGCACACAUGAAAAUUCUGGAAUAAGUUUUUCAGCAAGAUAGACUCUGGAAAUAAAUCAUGUCCACUGCAGAAAAUGAUUCAGAAAAAGUUCUUAGACUUCUUGUGUUUCCAGCUAGAGACGUGUGUGUGGGAAUGUAUCAGACAUGUGUGAAAGGACCCCGAAGUUCAUUCAGGCCACAGUGACUGAUCUGUGAACACUGAACAGAGAUGGGUUCAAAACUGUAGCUCUGUCGUGCGGAAAUAACUCCAUGUUUGUUGAGUACUUUGUUUAGUAGCCUGCACUGAAUGCAGUUGUAUACCCUGGAGUAAAUUAUCCAGAGUUAUAGAAAAUGGAAUACUAGAGUUGAUUGCUCAAGUAAAAUCUGCUCAUCCAAAUCUGGAGGGUGUAGAGGACAUGGCUUGCACUUUAGAUAUGACAGAUGUCCUCAUGAGGAUAAUCCCACAAUCCUAGAA